UAGGGAAUCUUCCGCAAUGGGCGAAAGCCUGACGGAGCAACGCCGCGUGAGUGAUGAAGGUCUUCGGAUCGUAAAACUCUGUUAUUAGGGAAGAACAUAUGUGUAAGUAACUGUGCACAUCUUGACGGUACCUAACCAGAAAGCCACGGCUAACUACGUGCCAGCAGCCGCGGUAAUACGUAGGCGGCAAGCGCUGUCCGGAAUUAUUGGGCGUAAAGCGCGCGCAGGUGGUUUAAUAAGUCUGAUGUGAAAGCCCACGGCUCAACCGUGGAGGGUCAUUGGAAACUGUUAAACUUGAGUGCAGGAGAGAAAAGUGGAAUUCCUAGUGUAGCGGUGAAAUGCGUAGAGAUUAGGAGGAACACCAGUGGCGAAGGCGGCUUUUUGGCCUGUAACUGACACUGAGGCGCGAAAGCGUGGGGAGCAAACAGGAUUAGAUACCCUGGUAGUCCACGCCGUAAACGAUGAGUGCUAAGUGUUGGUCUCAUAAGAGAUCAGUGCUGCAGCUAACGCAUUAAGCACUCCGCCUGGGGAGUACGACCGCAAGGUUG
rnacentral:rRNA from 1 species